rnacentral:rRNA from 1 species
UACGAAGGGGGCCGUAGUCGUCUCGGAAUCACUGGGCGUAAAGCGCACGUAGGCGGCUUUUUAAGUCAGGGGUGAAAUCCUGGAGCUCAACUCCAGAACUGCCUUUGAUACUGAGAAGCUUGAGUCCGGGAGAGGUGAGUGGAACUGCGAGUGUAGAGGUGAAAUUCGUAGAUAUUCGCAAGAACACCAGUGGCGAAGGCGGCUCACUGGCCCGGUACUGACGCUGAGGUGCGAAAGCGUGGGGAGCAAACAGG